rnacentral:rRNA from 1 species
ACUCCUGCGGGAGGCAGCAGUGGGGAAUUUUGGACAAUGGGCGAAAGCCUGAUCCAGCAAUGCCGCGUGCAGGAUGAAGGCCUUCGGGUUGUAAACUGCUUUUGUACGGAACGAAAAAGCUCCUUCUAAUACAGGGGGCCCAUGACGGUACCGUAAGAAUAAGCACCGGCUAACUACGUGCCAGCAGCCGCGGUAAUACGUAGGGUGCGAGCGUUAAUCGGAAUUACUGGGCGUAAAGCGUGCGCAGGCGGUUAUGUAAGACAGAUGUGAAAUCCCCGGGCUCAACCUGGGAACUGCAUUUGUGGCUGCAUGGCUAGAGUACGGUAGAGGGGGAUGGAAUUCCGCGUGUAGCAGUGAAAUGCGUAGAUAUGCGGAGGAACACCGAUGGCGAAGGCAAUCCCCUGGACCUGUACUGACGCUCAUGCACGAAAGCGUGGGGAGCAAACAGGAUUAGAUACCCGAGUAGUCCCA